CGCCUGUUUAUCAAAAACAUGUCCUUUUGUUAAUUGUUUAAGGUCUGGCCUGCUCCAUGAAUAUUAAAUAGCCGCAGUAUUUUGACUGUGCAAAGGUAGCAUAAUCAUUAGUUUUUUAAUUGAAAGCUGGAAUGAAUGGUCGGAUGAGGAAUAGACUGUCUCAUUUUAAUUUAUAUUGAAUUUUAUUUUUGAGUUAAAAAGCUCAAAUUGUAUAAAAAGACGAGAAGACCCUAUAGAGUUUAAUAGGUUAAGAUAUAUAAAAAUUUCGGUUUUUAUUUUUUGGUGCUUUAUCCUAUUUGGUUGGGGUGACUUAGAAUUGAAUGAAACUUCUUUGUAUUUAAACAUUGAUUAAUGAAUGAUUGAUCCUUUCUUUGAGAUUAAAAGAUUAAAUUACCUUAGGGAUAACAGCGUAAUCUUUUCAGAGAGUCCUUAUCAAUGAAAGGGAUUGCGACCUCGAUGUUGGAUUAAAGUUAAUUUUUGGUGCAGAAGCUAAUAUAUUAAGUCUGUUCGACUUUUAAAACUUUACGUGAUCUGAGUUUAGACCGG
rnacentral:rRNA from 1 species